GAUGAACGCUAGCGAUAGGCUUAACACAUGCAAGUCGAGGGGCAGCAUGGUCUUAGCUUGCUAAGACUGAUGGCGACCGGCGCACGGGUGCGUAACGCGUAUGCAACUUGCCUCACAGAGGGGGAUAACCCGUCGAAAGACGGACUAAUACCGCGUACACUUACAGGAGGGCAUCCUUCCGUAAGGAAAUGAAAUUCGCUGUGAGAUAGGCAUGCGUCCCAUUAGCUGUUGGUGAGGUAACGGCUCACCAAGGCGACGAUGGGUAGGGGAACUGAGAGGUUGAACCCCCACACUGGUACUGAGACACGGACCAGACUCCUACGGGAGGCAGCAGUGAGGAAUAUUGGUCAAUAGGCGAGAGCCUGAACCAGCCAAGUCGCGUGAAGGAUGACUGUCUUAUGGAUUGUAAACUUCUUUUGUAGGGGGAUAAAGAACGGCACGUGUGCCGUAGUGAGUGUACCCUAACGAAUAAGCAUCGGCUAAC
rnacentral:rRNA from 1 species